UUCCCUGUGGCUCAGUUGGUAGAGCAUGGUGUGUGCAACGCUAGGGUUGUGGGUUCGAUUCCCACAAAAAAAA
rnacentral:tRNA from 1 species